rnacentral:rRNA from 1 species
UACGUAGGAGGCGAGCGUUGUCCGGAGUUACUGGGCGUAAAGGGUGCGCAGGCGGCGUCACGCGUGGCUAGAUGAAAUCUCCUGGCUUACCUGGGAGGGUGGUAGCCAGACGGUGGCGCUUGAGGGUCGGAGAGGGGCGUGGAAUUCCGGGUGUAGCGGUGGAAUGCGUAGAGAUCCGGAAGAACACCGGUGGCGAAGGCGGUCUGCUGGGCAGUUGCUGACGCUGAUGCGCGACAGCGUGGGGAGCAAACAGG